GAGGCACUGGAGACAAAGAUCAGCCACGUGGCAGUCAACCAUGUCUAUGUGACCAAGUUCCAGUGAAAAUUCUGGACACCAAGGCUUGGGAGAUAUUUCUCAAAAGACUCAUCUGCGGGAGAGGAGAAUAGCAAAUGCUACUCUCUCUAGCUGCACUCUAAGCAGUUCGCAGGGAGCAUCUUUGAGCAGCUGGAACAGCUUUGCGGCCUUGCUGUAAUGAAGAUCUGCCAGCACCCGGUGUUGUUUCCUAAGGUGUUCAUCACCAACCUAGAACCAAACCAAAACAAGCAACAAAUCCUUCACGAGAAAGAAAGAAAACAACUGUGUAAGCAGACAUCAGUGUAAACCCUAGCACUGUCUCUUGAUGAGAUAAGAGGAGGAUGGCAGUGACAGGAGUGUGGUGGCAAGCCAGUCACCUGCAGUCAACCGCGGCUCAUUGCUCUCACCACGCCUGUUACAUGAAGGUAUGUAUGUAUAGGAAAAAGCACAGAAAAACUCUCCAGUUUCAGGCAUCCACUGGGGAUCU
rnacentral:antisense_RNA from 1 species